rnacentral:rRNA from 1 species
GACGAACCGUCCAAACGUUAUUCGGAAUUACUGGGCUUAAAGGGUGCGUAGGCGGCGCGGAAAGUUGGGUGUGAAAUCCCUCGGCUCAACCGAGGAACUGCGCCCAAUACUACCGUGCUUGAGGGAGAUAGAGGUGAGCGGAACUUAGGGUGGAGCGGUGAAAUGCGUUGAUAUCCUAAGGAACACCGGUGGCGAAAGCGGCUCACUGGAUCUCUUCUGACGCUGAGGCACGGAAGCUAGGGUAGCGAACGGG